AGGAAUAUUGGUCAAUGGCCGGAAGGCUGAACCAGCCAAGUCGCGUGAGGGAAUAAGGCCCUACGGGUCGUAAACCUCUUUUGUCAGGGAGCAAGGCCGCCCACGUGUGGACGGACGGAGAGUACCUGGAGAAAAAGCAUCGGCUAACUCCGUGCCAGCAGCCGCGGUAAUACGGAGGAUGCGAGCGUUAUCCGGAUUUAUUGGGUUUAAAGGGUGCGUAGGCGGCCUGCCAAGUCAGCGGUAAAAUUGCGGGGCUCAACCGGUACAGGCUCUGGAAACUGGCGGGCUAGAGAGCAGGAGAGGGCGGUGGAACUCCAUGUGUAGCGGUAAAAUGCGUAGAUAUAUGGAAGAACACCAGUGGCGAAGGCGGCCGCCUGGCCUGUUGACUGACGCUGAGGCACGAAAGCGUGGGGAGCAAAUA
rnacentral:rRNA from 1 species